AUUGAACGCUGGCGGCAUGCUUUACACAUGCAAGUCGAACGGUAACAGGCCGCAAGGUGCUGACGAGUGGCGAACGGGUGAGUAAUGCAUCGGAACGUGCCCAGUCGUGGGGGAUAACGCAGCGAAAGCUGCGCUAAUACCGCAUACGAGCUAUGGUUGAAAGCGGGGGACCGUAAGGCCUCGAGCUAUUGGAGCGGCCGAUGUCAGAUUAGGUAGUUGGUGGGGUAAAGGCUCACCAAGCCAACGAUCUGUGGCUGGUCUGAGAGGACGACCAGCCACACUGGGACGGAGACACGGCCCAGACUCCUACGGGAGGCAGCAGUGGGGAAUUUUGGACAAUGGGCGCAAGCCUGAUCCAGCAAUGCCGCGUGCAGGAAGAAGGCCUUCGGGUUGUAAACUGCUUUUGUACGGAACGAAACGGCUCUGGUUAAUACCUGGGGCUAAUGACGGUACCGUAAGAAUAAGCACCGGCUAACUACGUGCCAGCCGCCGCCGUAA
rnacentral:rRNA from 1 species